rnacentral:lncRNA from 1 species
UCCUGGUUGAAAAUGGUGCUAUCCCCUCUUGCAAAUCGAUGCCCCAAACAGUCAUUGGGCAGAAACAGGAUACUGACAUAGAUGUCUCUAGCAUUACAUCGUCAGACAGCCUAGCAAAUGAAGUUGUUAAGGAUGAUGCUGAUCACGUAAAAGUUCUUGAAACUGCUGUUGAUGAAGAGGCUGCAACAUCAACUUCAAAUGGUGAGUUUCUCAAUGAGAAGGCUUCUGAUGUUCUGGUAAAACAUGCUUCUUUCCCAUUACCAGCAAAAGAAUUCAUCAAGACCAUCCAACUGAUGCUGACAUUAAGUGUUUGCUUUCUAAGUUUUUCUGAUUAGUUCCAUUGGACUUCAGGCUCAAGGGCUGCUUAAGACAGCAAUUGCCACGAAAGGAUUGAUUGUUAGCUCCCGAAAGGAUUCACUUCAACACUUCAAACAGCCUUGGGCUCAUGAGCUCACCUAUCAAUAAUCUCUUAGGUGCUGUGAAGGUGUGAAAAAUGUGUAUGAUAUGUUAUUUCCAGUUUAUGUAUUUGCUUCUAAUUAGGCAAUUAAGCCAACAAUUUUGAUCGGAUCAUCUGGAGUGGGAAGACCAUUUACAAAGGAAGUGGUUGAAGCCAUGGCUGCUUUAAAUGUGGUUUCCUCUAUCUUUCUCUCACUGUAUACUAUGAAAUUUGGUCUGAUAUUGUAGUUAUUCACCCUAUAUCGACCAAAGGAAACUGACUAUUAUAUCACCGAUGUACAGAAACCUGUUAUCAUAGCUCUCUCCAACCCAACUUCACAAUCAGAGUGUACAGCCGAUGAAGCUUUUUUUUGGACUAAGGUGAAUAACACAAUGAUAAGGCAAAAAUUUAAUUUUACGGUUAAGUGUUUUGAUAAAAGC